rnacentral:rRNA from 1 species
CAGUAGCCACGGGAAUACAGAGGGUGCGAGCGUUAAUCGGAUUUACUGGGCGUAAAGCGUGCGUAGGCGGCUUCUUAAGUCGGAUGUGAAAUCCCUGAGCUUAACUUAGGAAUUGCAUUCGAUACUGGGAAGCUAGAGUAUGGGAGAGGAUGGUUGAAUUCCAGGUGUAGCGGUGAAAUGCGUAGAGAUCUGGAGGAAUACCGAUGGCGAAGGCAGCCAUCUGGCCUAAUACUGACGCUGAGGUACGAAAGCAUGGGGAGCAAACAGGAUUAGAUACCCCAGUAGUCCCUGUCUCUUAUAC